GACGAACGCUGGCGGCGUGCUUAACACAUGCAAGUCGAACGGAAAGGCCCUGCUUUUGUGGGGUGCUCGAGUGGCGCACGGGAGAGUAACACGUGAGUAACCUGCCCCUGACUUUGGGAUAACUUCAGGAAACUGGGGCUAAUACCGGAUAGGAGCUCCUGCUGCAGGGUGGGGGUUGGAAAGUUUCGGCGGUGGGGGAUGGGCUCGGGGCUUAUGAGCUUGUUGGUGGGGUAGUGGCUUACAAAGGUUUUGACGGGUAGCCGGCCUGGGGGGGUGACCGGCCACAUUGGGACUGAGAUACGGCCCAGACUCCGACGGGAGGCAGCAGUGGGGAAUAUUGCACAAUGGGCGGAAGCCUGAUGCAGCAACGCCGCGUGCGGGAUGACGGCCUUCGGGUUGUAAACCGCUUUCGCCGGUGACGAAGCGUGAGUGACGGUAAUGGGUAAAGAAGCACCGGCUAACUACGUG
rnacentral:rRNA from 1 species